rfam:Limnoraphis robusta CS-951 contig332, whole genome shotgun sequence.
GUCAGCACCCCGCUCUAAAGAGACGGGGCAUCAUGCUUCUCUUUUUAGGUAGCUGACCAGCCUAAGUCCCUUGAGGACUACGUUAUCGGUGAGAGUUAACGUUCCUACCCUGAGAUGCUUGGGGCGUCGCCGGCUCAUGAACCACAGCAUUAAACAGUCCUACGAGGGGUAAGACAGUGUGUUGUCGAAAGUACCGACCGAUAACAUUGGCUCGGCAAACAUUAC